UACGAAGGGGGCUAGCGUUGCUCGGAAUUACUGGGCGUAAAGGGCGCGUAGGUGGCGCGACAAGUCAGUGGUGAAAGCUCGACGCUCAACGUCGAGUCGGCCACUGAUACUGUUGGGCUUGAGCACUGUAGAGGCUAAUGGAAUUCCGGGUGUAGCGGUGGAAUGCGUAGAGAUCCGGAAGAACACCCGGUGGCGAAGGCGGUUAGCUGGGCAGUUGCUGGACACUGAGGC
rnacentral:rRNA from 1 species